rnacentral:rRNA from 1 species
CCUACGGGAGGCUGCAGUGGGGGAUAUUGCACAAUGGGGGGAACCCUGAUGCAGCGACGCCGCGUGGGUGAAGAAGCGCCUCGGCGCGUAAAGCCCUGUCAGCAGGGAAGAAAAUGACGGUACCUGAAGAAGAAGCCCCGGCUAACUACGUGCCAUCAGCCGCGGUAAUACGUAGGGGGCAAGCGUUAUCCUGAUUUACUGGGUGGAAAGUGGGAGCAGACGGCGAUGCAAGCCAUUAGUGAAAGCCCGGGGCCCAACCCCGGGACUGCUCUUGGCCCUGCGUGGCUGGAGUGCAGGAGGGGCAGGCGGAAUGCCGGGUGUAGCGGUGAAAUGCGUAGAUAUUAGGAGGAACACCGGUGGCGAAGGCGGCCUGCUGGACUGCAACUGACGUUGAGGCCCGAAAGCGUGGGGAGCAAACAGGAUUAGAUACCCGGGUAGUC